rnacentral:rRNA from 1 species
GACGAACGCUGGCGGCGCGCUUAACACAUGCAAGUCGAACGGAAAGGCCCUGCUUUUGUGGGGUGCUCGAGUGGCGAACGGGUGAGUAACACGUGAGUAACCUGCCCUUGACUUUGGGAUAACUUCAGGAAACUGGGGCUAAUACCGGAUAGGAGCUCCUGCUGCACGGUGGGGGUUGGAAAGUUUCGGCGGUUGGGGAUGGACUCGCGGCUUAUCAGCUUGUUGGUGGGGUAGUGGCUUACCAAGGCUUUGACGGGUAGCCGGCCUGAGAGGGUGACCGGCCACAUUGGGACUGAGAUACGGCCCAGACUCCUACGGGAGGCAGCAGUGGGGAAUAUUGCACAAUGGGCGGAAGCCUGAUGCAGCAACGCCGCGUGCGGGAUGACGGCCUUCGGGUUGUAAACCGCUUUCGCCUGUGACGAAGCGUGAGUGACGGUAAUGGGUAAAGAAGCACCGGCUAACUACGUGCCAGCAGCCGCGGUGAUACGUAGGGUGCGAGCGUUGUCCGGAUUUAUUGGGCGUAAAGGGCUCGUAGGUGGUUGAUCGCGUCGGAAGUGUAAUCUUGGGGCUUAACCCUGAGCGUGCUUUCGAUACGGGUUGACUUGAGGAAGGUAGGGGAGAAUGGAAUUCCUGGUGGAGCGGUGGAAUGCGCAGAUAUCAGGAGGAACACCAGUGGCGAAGGCGGUUCUCUGGGCCUUUCCUGACGCUGAGGAGCGAAAGCGUGGGGAGCGAACAGGCUUAGAUACCCUGGUAGUCCACGCUGUAAACGGUGGGUACUAGGUGUGGGGUCCAUUCCACGGGUUCCGUGCCGUAGCUAACGCUUUAAGUACCCCGCCUGGGGAGUACGGCCGCAAGGCUAAAACUCAAAGGAAUUGACGGGGCCCCGCACAAGCGGCGGAGCAUGCGGAUUAAUUCGAUGCAACGCGUAGAACCUUACCUGGGUUUGACAUGGAUCGGGAGUGCUCAGAGAUGGGUGUGCCUCUUUUGGGGUCGGUUCACAGGUGGUGCAUGGCUGUCGUCAGCUCGUGUCGUGAGAUGUUGGGUUAAGUCCCGCAACGAGCGCAACCCUUGUUCACUGUUGCCAGCACGUUAUGGUGGGGACUCAGUGGAGACCGCCGGGGUCAACUCGGAGGAAGGUGGGGAUGACGUCAAGUCAUCAUGCCCCUUAUGUCCAGGGCUUCACGCAUGCUACAAUGGCUGGUACAGAGAGUGGCGAGCCUGUGAGGGUGAGCGAAUCUCGGAAAGCCGGUCUCAGUUCGGAUUGGGGUCUGCAACUCGACCUCAUGAAGUCGGAGUCGCUAGUAAUCGCAGAUCAGCAACGCUGCGGUGAAUACGUUCCCGGG